rfam:Aedes albopictus isolate Foshan contig129469, whole genome shotgun sequence.
UGUUCUGUGGCUUAGUUGGUUAAAUCGCUGAUCAAGCAAAUACGGAAUCGUGGGUUCGAAUCCCACCAGAACGC